rnacentral:rRNA from 1 species
CGGACGGGUGAGUAACGCGUGAGAAUCGGCCCUCAGGUUGGGGACAACCACUGGAAACGGUGGCUAAUACCGAAUAAGCCGAAAGGUGAAAGAUUAAUUGCCUGGGGAAGAGCUCGCGUCUGAUUAGCUAGUUGGUGGGGUAAAGGCCUACCAAGGCACCGAUCAGUAACUGGUCUGAGAGGAUGGCCAGUCACACUGGGACUGAGACACGGCCCAGACUCCUACGGGAGGCAGCAGUGGGGAAUUUUCCGCAAUGGGCGAAAGCCUGACGGAGCAAUACCGCGUGGGGGAGGAAGGCUCUUGGGUCGUAAACCUCUUUUCUCAGGGAAGAACAAAAUGACGGUACCUGAGGAAUCAGCAUCGGCUAACUCCGUGCCAGCAGCCGCGGUAAUACGGAGGAUGCAAGCGUUAUCCGGAAUGAUUGGGCGUAAAGCGUCCGCAGGUGGCAGUGUAAGUCUGCUGUCAAAGGUCAGGGCUCAACCCUGAACAGGCAGUGGAAACUACACAGCUAGAGUGCGGUGGGGGCAGAGGGAAUUCCCAGUGUAGCGGUGAAAUGCGUAGAGAUUGGGAAGAACACCGGUGGCGAAAGCGCUCUGCUAGGCCGUAACUGACACUCAUGGACGAAAGCUAGGGGAGCGAAUGGGAUUAGAUACCCCAGUAGUC